rnacentral:snRNA from 1 species
GUCCCUUCGGGGACAUUUAGUCAAUCGAAAAAAUACAGAGAAGAUCAGCAUGGCCCCUGCAUAAGGAUGACACGCUUUACAAAGAGAUCUUACUUACUUUU